rnacentral:lncRNA from 1 species
AUACAAUUUCUUAAAAAAAAAAAGUCCAAGUAUAAAUUUUAUUAAGGGUAGUUGUUUAAGGCUGCGUUGAUUCGGAUAUAACUAAGAAUUGCUUAUUCUAGAGAUAGGUACUAGUUCAGGUAUAAUCAGAAACUACACCAAUUUUGCAUUUGAAUAAAAAUUAAUUUGUUCCUAGGAAUAAGAUAAAUAAUGUUUGGAUGGUUAGAUUGAAAAAAAGAAAAUAAGAGUUAUAAUUUUAAAUUAAAAUUAUUUUAUCUAAUUAAUUAACAUCAAAAUAUUAUUUAAAAAUAAUUUAAUAAAUUAAUAAAUUUAUUAGCUAUGAAUAUUGUAUAAGAUAAUAAAAAUAUAUUAAUUAAUUAAUUAAAUAUAAAAAAUAAUUUAAUUUUUUAAUAAGUUAGUACAUUAUUUUAGCUAGAUAACUAGUAAAAAAAUUAACCAGAUUAAUAAAUAAUUAAUGGUUAAUCAAUAUAAAUAUUAGUUUAUGGAUAAAUACAUUAAAUUAUAAAUCAAAUCCGUCCACAGAAACACAACAACCCUUGGUCAUCCACAAGGAAAUCACCGGUGUAACCUUCAACCAUCUUAGCUCGAAUCUUUUGUAACUUCACAUCGUGAACUUGCUUUUUCCUAAUUCUUUUCAAUAAUGUUGGUUGCACCACCAAUGCCAUCAAUUUCAAGGAU